GAUGAACGCUAGCGGCAGGCUUAACACAUGCAAGUCGAGGGGUAUGCCGAUUUAUCGGCAGUGACCGGCGCACGGGUGCGUAACGCGUAUGCAAUCUACCUUUUGCAGAGGGAUAGCCCAGAGAAAUUUGGAUUAAUACCUCAUAGUAUAGUACUUUGGCAUCAAGGAACUAUUAAAGUCACAACGGCAAAAGAUGAGCAUGCGUCCCAUUAGCUAGUUGGUAAGGUAACGGCUUACCAAGGCUACGAUGGGUAGGGGUCCUGAGAGGGAGAUCCCCCACACUGGUACUGAGACACGGACCAGACUCCUACGGGAGGCAGCAGUGAGGAAUAUUGGACAAUGGGGCGCAAGCCUGAUCCAGCCAUGCCGCGUGCAGGAUGACGGUCCUAUGGAUUGUAAACUGCUUUGUACAGGAAGAAACACUACUUCGUGAAGUAGCUUGACGGUACUGUAAGAAUAAGGAUCGGCU
rnacentral:rRNA from 1 species